rnacentral:rRNA from 1 species
CCUACGUGAGGCAGCAGUGGGGGAUAUUGCACAAUGGGGGAAACCCUGAUGCAGCGACGCCGCGUGUGGGAAGACGGUCCUCUGGAUUGUAAACCACUGUCCCCAGGGACGAAGAUGACGGUACCUGGGGAGGAAGCUCCGGCUAACUACGUGCCAGCAGCCGCGGUAAUACGUAGGGAGCGAGCGUUGUCCGGAAGUACUGGGUGUAAAGGGAGCGUAGGCGGGACUGCAAGUUGGGUGUCAAAUCUACCGGCUCAACCGGUAGCCGCACUCAAAACUGCAGUUCUUGAGUGAAGUAGAGGCAGGCGGAAUUCCUAGUGUAGCGGUGAAAUGCGUAGAUAUUAGGAGGAACACCAGUGGCGAAGGCGGCCUGCUGGGCUUUUACUGACGCUGAGGCUCGAAAGUGUGGGGAGCAAACAGGAUUAGAUACCCCAGUAGUC